AAGGCCCAACAGCCCACCCAGGAGCCAAUCCCAUACCGACACACAUGUAUACUUCAGACUAUUAUCACUACCUACUUCCAUCAUCAGAUAGAUACCACAUCUUAUUUAGAAUCCUUGACCCUGGAAACCUUUGGACACCAAGAUGAAGCAAAUGGCUUUUGAAGUUAUUGAAGAAAUUCACACUUUUUCUAAUGGCUGUAAUCUGGUUUAGCUGUUAGUGUAUUUAACAACUACCAUGAUGUCAUCAUGUCUUUUUUUGUUAAUUUGUUUGUUUUUUGCCAAUGAUUCUGGGCAUCAUCCCGAUCUCCCCACAGUAAAGAAUCCUUAAAAAAAAAUCCUGGAUCCAGAUGAUGAUCUAAAUCACCCCCAGAUCGCUUGUUCCUUAUUCCAUUUCUGAUGUUUUCUGAAAAAUUAAACAAAAUGUGUCCAUAACAUUUUGAGUUAUGUUGCUAACAGACAAACCAACGCCACCAAAAACAUAACCUCCACCUACAAAGUAUUGGUAGCUAUAUAAUAAAUGGAAAUAAUCAGGAUGUUUAAUUUAUUUCUGUCUUGUCAUCUUGUUUUUUUUUUAAAACACAAUCAAGGUCCAGUCUGUCAUUGCUGUAAUUCGGGAGCUGCAGCAGUGGAAAAGCUGUACAUUUCUUUAUCUACUGGAUCUGAGUAUAGCUCAGUGACAAAUGAAACGGUCAAAUUAUAUGAUUGACAUCAUUUUCAAAUCUGUCACAUGCUGCAAACACAAUGCAGUAGUAAACAAAGCCAUGAUCCAAAAGGCUCCACUUAUUGAUUUUUGUCAUGUUCUUUGAUGAAUCUUACACAUUGUGUGUCCGUUAGGUGAUUUUGCUGCUUGUAAACAUUAUGAUGUUUUUAUCUUCCAGGGCCAGCAGUCAUCAAAGUGUUCAUAGAAGAAGGCAGUGAUGUAGGUCUGCCCUGCUCUCUCAGCACCAAGAACAAUACAGAUACUGUUUGACUGGAAGAAGGAUCAUCAGUAUGAAGUGUUCCUGUACGAUGCUGGCCUUCAUUAUAAUAACGGCUGUUCAGGUCAAAAUGAACAGUUUAAAGAUAUAACAGAUAUAUAACAGAAGAAAGUAUCCCAAGGGGAGUCCUUAUUCUGAUUACAUCACUGGUUAUUACACCUCACCUGUAUGUGUUGUUGCUAAUAAUUGGUUCAGAGAUGGCUUAAGGUCUAUAGGUCUCCUAGAUGCUCUUCAGAGAUACCCUCUACAGUUGAAGUGCCUUUUCGUAAAAGGUGAAACAAGUUUAACAGCAUCUGAAGUGGAGAAUCUCUUCCAGAUCAUUCACUCUGAAAGAGGAAGCAAUGCAUUUCAAGGAGAGUGCCAAACCCUGGCUUUCUGGAAAGACUAUCUUCAAGAUGCUGAAUGUAAAAGUGAAGUCACUCUGGAGGAUUUUCUUGUGUUCGUUACUGGAUGUGACAACAUUCCACCCCUGGGUUUCUCACCAAGGCCAAGCUUUGAUUCAUGCAGUGUACACUGCAUUCAAAUCCCACAUGGAUUUUGCCAGACGCAAUUCCCCAGGAUUCGGGAGAGCCUGAGAGGUCAUUUAUAGAGGGUUUGAGGAGAUGAGUUAAGAUGAGGAGGUUAAUGUGGGAGCUGUUCCUGCAACCCCAAUAACCAACCUUUUAUUCAUAUUGUUUGUUUUGUCUCUCACUGUUUACAUGAUGUGGGUCCAUGACAAGAACACACAGGUAAGAAAAGGUGCUAAAUCACUGCCUGUAACUGCUAUUAUUUCAUUUUGUUAUUCUCUAAAACAGAAAGCUCUUUUAAUUUACUGCAAUAAAAACACAAAAAAAUAUACAUAAAACAUUUUGGUUACAUUUGAAAAUUUGUUUAAAGUCAUGGUUUUGUGUUACAGAUUUAAGGAUGUGAACUUGAUGAAUACUUUUUGUUGAUAAAUGUGAGGCACAUUUUGCAUUGCAGUCAAACACUCCUCCAACUUGAAACAGUUGUUCAUUUUUCUUUGAUGACAUUUGUAAUGUGACCCAUAGCAGCAUUUAAUUAGAGUUAAUAUGUAAAAAAUCAUUGUUUCGUUUGGGUUGUGCCAUUUUAUGGUUUGUUUAGUUUUAGGCACAAAAAAUAUUUUGGUUACAAUUUGAAAUUUUGGUUUUCUCAGAACUGGUAUAACUGGAGUAGCUGUAGAUGCAAAUGCUCUUUCUAUCUGACAUGAAUAUAUUUACAGAACAGUAACAAUUACUUGCAAACUUAAGUAUU